GAGGAAUAUUGGGCAAUGCCCGCAAGGGUGACCCAGCAACGCCGCGUGGAGGAUGAAUGUCGUAAGAUUGUAAACUCCUGUUAGAGGGGAAGAAUAGUACCGGUUGGACCGGUAUAUGACUGUACCCUCAGAGAAAGCCCCGGCUAACUACGUGCCAGCAGCCGCGGUAAUACGUAGGGGGCAAGCGUUGUCCGGAUUUACUGGGUGUAAAGGGCGCGCAGGCGGGAUAAAAAGUCAGUGGUGAAAUCCUACAGCUUAACUGUAGAACUGCCUUUGAUACUUUUAUUCUUGAGUUCGGUAGAGAGAGACGGAAUUCCAGGUGUAGUGGUGAAAUACGUAGAUAUCUGGAAGAACACCAGUUGCGAAGGCGGUCUCUUGGUCCGACACUGACGCUGAGGCGCGAAAGCGUGGGGAGCAAACA
rnacentral:rRNA from 1 species